rnacentral:rRNA from 1 species
UACGUAGGGAGCAAGCGUUGUCCGGAUUUAUUGGGCGUAAAGAGUUCGUAGGCGGCUUAGAAAGUCAGGUGUGAAACCUCCAGGCUCAACCUGGAGACGCCACUUGAUACUUCUAUGGCUUGAGUUCGGUAGGGGAUCACGGAAUUCCUGGUGUAGCGGUGAAAUGCGCAGAUAUCAGGAGGAACACCGGUGGCGAAGGCGGUUCUCUGGGCCUUACCUGACGCUGAGGAGCGAAAGCAUGGGGAGCAAACAGG